rnacentral:rRNA from 1 species
GUGAACGCUGGCGGUAGGCCUAACACCUGCAAGUCGAACGGCAGCACCGUAAGAGCUUGCUCUUACGGGUGGCGAGUGGCGGACGGGUGAGGAAUACAUCGGAAUCUACUUUUUCGUGGGGGAUAACGUAGGGAAACUUACGCUAAUACCGCAUACGACCUACGGGUGAAAGCAGGGGAUCUUCGGACCUUGCGCGAUUGAAUGAGCCGAUGUCGGAUUAGCUAGUUGGCGGGGUAAAGGCCCACCAAGGCGACGAUCCGUAGCUGGUCUGAGAGGAUGAUCAGCCACACUGGAACUGAGACACGGUCCAGACUCCUACGGGAGGCAGCAGUGGGGAAUAUUGGACAAUGGGCGCAAGCCUGAUCCAGCCAUACCGCGUGGGUGAAGAAGGCCUUCGGGUUGUAAAGCCCUUUUGUUGGGAAAGAAAAGCAGCAGGUUAAUACCCCGCUGUUCUGACGGUACCCAAAGAAUAAGCACCGGCUAACCUCGUG